CCUACCAGCUUCUCCCUUGAAGUUCAAUUAUUAAGGUUUCCCACGUGCAGCUUUUGCAUCUGCGGAUACAGAGAGUGAAAUGUAUUUAUUGUACUCCGCCAUCUUAUUUAAUUUAUUUUUAUUUUUUUGUGAAGAUUUUUUUUUUUAUGUGGACCAUUUUUAAAGUCUUUAUUGAACUUGUUACAAUAUUGCUUCUGUUUUAUGUUUUGGUUUUUUGGCCCCGAGGCAUGUGGGAUCUUAGCUCCCCGACCAGAGAUCAAACCCACACCCCCUGUACUGGAAAGCGAAGUCUUAACCACUGGACCACCAGGGAAGUCCCUGUGCUCUGCCAUUCUAUGUAAGAGACUUGAGCAUCCGUGGAGUCUGGUACCCCUGGGAUCUCCUGGAACCAAUCCCCUGCAGAUACUGAGGGACAACUGUACAACGUUUGAGCCUCUUCCGAAACCCCAGAUUUUAACUUCUUGCUGGAACCAGGCAUUCUAGCCAUUGAAGAGCUGAGAAGCCAAACGGAGGAAGAGAGACAAUCAGAGAUUAACAUCAUCAAGAAGCCACGCACACCCCAGGGAUGGAGAGAACUUGGGAGGAGGCCAGCAGCUAGAGACAUGCGUUUGGGAACUAGAAUCACACUGGGCCAUUCAGUGGGAGCUGGAGCCCCACAGCUGCUGGUGGAGAUGCUGCAGGUGGGUCCUUCUCUUUCUGGGUGAUGCCCCAUGUGCAGGUCGUGGGGAGAGCUGCUACAAGGAGUCUCCAGCUGCCCCGCCUGGGGAUUCCCCGCGGUGCCUACACCCUUCCCACAUGCUGGGCUGCCCCACAGCUUCGCCUGAGCCUGUGGGCUACUAGGGACAGGAUUCUCCAGCAGCUAGGCCAGGACGCUGUCAGGGCUGUACCACAGCUUGAGGUUCCUCCGGUUCAGUCCUUUGUACUUCCCUCUCUUCUCUGAUAUGUAUCCGACUGUAUUGCCGUCCAAGACUCUCACAACCUCCUCCUGCCCCCUCUUCCAUUUCCCACUUCCCAGCAUCUUCCCCCCAUAAAUCUCCUGCAUGUUUGAUUCUAUCUUGGUGUCUGCUUCUCAGACAACAUAAGCUGAUACACCUUCCCCAUCUUCUCCCAGUGAAAAGAGGAGCCCCAACUUGCUGCAGAAAACUCAGGGUGCGUGGUGGUGGGAUGAACUGGGAGAUGGGGAUUGACAUAUAUACACUACUAUGUAUAAAACAGAUAACUAAAAAAAAAAUAGAUAACUAAUGAGAACUUACUGUAUAACACAGGGAACUGUACUCAGUGCUCUGUGGUGACCUAAAUGGGAAGGAAAUCCAAAAAAGAGGGGAUCUAUGUAUACGUAUAACUGAUUCACUUUGCUGUAGAGCAGAAACAAACACAACAUUGUAAAGCAACUAUA